AAAAGAAUGGGCAAUAACAAUAAAAAGGUAAAGAGGAGUGUUCACUUUUUUCAGGUUAGAGAACCAUUGUGUGUAAACUUUGUUCUAUAAUUUUAUGGUUUUUUUUUAAAAAACAUUCUGAGUAUAGUUUCCACAUCUAAAUAUUUGUUAUAACAGACUCUGUUCUUAUUCUUUCAGGUGUCAUUUUCAUUGAAUAAAGGAAGUAAUGAAGAAGAUCAAGUAUGGCACUUCCUUGGCCAGUGAUUAGAACAUCUGAAGGUCUUCCAUCAGGAUUCCAGUCUCUAAGAAUGCCGAGAUUCAAUCUCCCCCAAGUGCUAGAAACAGGCAGAAUUUGCUCAUUAACUUCCUAUUGAAACUUCUUUUUUUUUUUUCCUUCAAGCUUUUUGCAAUAUGCAAUGUGUAAAUAAACAUUGACAUUUUUGAAUUA